AAUUCUUCAUAAAUUUCCCAUCACGUAUUAUUUAGUUUAUAUUAUUAGUUUAUAUCAGGGUGUCAAACCGGAAUCGGAAACCAAUUGAAAUUCAGAAUCGGAAUCGGAACAUCAAUUUCGAAAUUUUGUUAGGAACCAGCUACCAGAAAUAAGUUUUUUCAGGGUUGCAAUUCCGAUUGACACAAUCGAAGCAAAUGUGUGAAUAUUGCUUGACAAAAACUUGGAAAGUUUUUAGUAGAAAGCAGAUCGAAUAAUUGCAAUAAUGCCCCGACGCAGCGAGCGCUUGCGCACAAUUCGAGAGGCAUCCACCAGGAAUUCUGCUGUUUGCGCUUGGUCGGCAGUGAUGGUGAGUCGUCUUCGUCAGCGGCGCUUGCAGAUACUGCUUAAAGUGGACAAUUUCCAGACGGCGUCCAACAAUAGUGAUAAUGACUUCAUCGAAGUCGACAUAUCACAAUUCAUAGAGUUGCCUUUUUUCCCCGGUAAAUUGGCCAAGUCUUUAUCACUGUGUUCGCCGAACAAUCGUCAUUUUAAACGAAAUAUUCGCAAGUUGUGGAAAAUAAUAGUUUUUUUUAUUCGUCAUUUGUGUACAUUUUAAUAAUAUUAUAUUUUCCAUAACAAAUUAUGUAUGUAAGUAGUGGUAAUAAAUGCGGGACAGGCGCCCCCAUUUCCUGUA